GAAGGGGACAAUUAAGCUGAGUGGACACAAGGAAAGCCUGGGGUCACAAGGUUCCAUGGUUGUCAUCUGAGGCCCUUUGGAGACUUUACAUAACCUUCCUGUCAGCCUCUUCUCUGCAGAGAACACUCUACCUCCACAUUCAAGGUGUAACCAAUAUCUAAUGUUAAGCCACUAUCUUUUCUUCCCAAAAGAAGAGUAGCUGUCCCAGAAAGCAUUUGCAGUAGGAUUGCUGAUAAGAAGAUAGAUGUCAGAGUAUACUUCCUUCGUAGAUAUAAGCCUGCCUAGCUAGGUGGUGAAGGCUGCCUGGGAUGUUCCUGCUGCAGGACUUCAGUACAUCUUCCUUUCACUGUACCUGGAAACCCUGCUCUCACCUCUGGUGUAGCACUACUUUAAUGCUACUUGCAGACGUCUACUGCUGCUUUAUUCAGACCAAUCCUGUUUUCAGAACCUGAUUCCCAGGUUUUGGUCACUAAGAACUCUUUUAUUUUUUUAUUUAAAAAAUAUUUUAUUUUUGGGUAUCAGAUUAGGGGUUCUAGCCCACCAAAUCUUAAAAAGGAUACAAAAGUAUUUUAACAUGCC